rnacentral:lncRNA from 1 species
AGGCUUCAAGAGAGGUUUCAGAGAGCUUUUGUGAGGAUUUUGGGAUUUGUUAUUGAGAGACUCCUGUACAAGGGUUGAGUGGUGAGUUUCUCUUAUAUUGGUUUUAUUUUAUUCUCUCAUAGUGAAGCUUGUACGUCCCGUGGAGGUAGGCUUGAGAUCGAUCCAUGUAUUUAUAUUAUAUUUCUUAUUUUAUUUCUUCUUUCUUCCUGCUGCACCGUGUGGUAUCGAAUCCUAUGCAAUAAUUGGUAUCAAAGCAAGGUGG